CGGUCAUUCAAGUAAAGUACUAUAAUACAAUCGAGUCUUUAUGGGAUAAACUAUAAUAAAAUUGAGUCUAAUGUAAAACUAUUAAAUAAGUAAAGACUCUUGAUGUCUUGCAAAUUUUCGACUGUAGGUAAACUAUUAAGAAAAGAAAAAGAUAUAAAUAGUAAAUUUAAAUCGUAUGAAUCGUAUGAAUAAUAUUGGCGAACAAAAAAGUAUCACAUUAUGUCGAGGAACAGUUGUAAAAUGCUAUAAGAAAGAAUAAAAAUGUAUCGAAAAUAUAACACAAAAGAAAUCAUGAAAUAACUCGGUGCAAUCCCAAUAAAAGAUGCAAAC
rnacentral:lncRNA from 1 species